rnacentral:rRNA from 1 species
UACGUAGGGACCGAGCGUUGUCCGGAUUCAUUGGGCGUAAAGAGCUCGUAGGCGGCCACUCAAGUCGAAUGUGAAACCUCGAGGCUUAACCUCGAGCCUGCAUUCGAUACUGGGCGGCUAGAGUCUGGUAGGGGGAUCUGGAAUUCCUGGUGUAGCGGUGGAAUGCGCAGAUAUCAGGAGGAACACCGGUGGCGAAGGCGGGAUCCUGGGCCAGUACUGACGCUGAG